rnacentral:rRNA from 1 species
UUUCCUACGGGGGGCAGCAGUGAGGAAUAUUGGUCAAUGGGCGGGAGCCUGAACCAGCCAAGUCGCGUGAAGGAAGAAGGUACUUAGUAUUGUAAACUUCUUUUGUCGGGGAACAAAGGCGGAGACGCGUCUCCGGAUGAGUGUACCCGAAGAAAAAGCAUCGGCUAACUCCGUGCCAGCAGCCGCGGUAAUACGGAGGAUCCGAGCGUUAUCCGGAUUUAUUGGGUUUAAAGGGAGCGUAGGUGGAUUGUUAAGUCAGUUGUGAAAGUUUGCGGCUCAACCGUAAAAUUGCAGUUGAAACUGGC